rnacentral:rRNA from 2 species
UACAACCUGCCUGUAAGACUGGGAUAACUUCGGGAAACCGGAGCUAAUACCGGAUAAUCCUUUUCUACUCAUGUAGAAAAGCUGAAAGACGGUUUACGCUGUCACUUACAGAUGGGCCCGCGGCGCAUUAGCUAGUUGGUGAGGUAACGGCUCACCAAGGCAACGAUGCGUAGCCGACCUGAGAGGGUGAUCGGCCACACUGGGACUGAGACACGGCCCAGACUCCUACGGGAGGCAGCAGUAGGGAAUCUUCCGCAAUGGACGAAAGUCUGACGGAGCAACGCCGCGUGAGUGAUGAAGGUUUUCGGAUCGUAAAACUCUGUUGUUAGGGAAGAACAAGUACAAGAGUAACUGCUUGUACCUUGACGGUACCUAACCAGAAAGCCACGGCUAACUACGUGCCAGCAGCCGCGGUAAUACGUAGGUGGCAAGCGUUGUCCGGAAUUAUUGGGCGUAAAGCGCGCGCAGGCGGUCCUUUAAGUCUGAUGUGAAAGCCCACGGCUCAACCGUGGAGGGUCAUUGGAAACUGGGGGACUUGAGUGCAGAAGAGAAGAGUGGAAUUCCACGUGUAGCGGUGAAAUGCGUA